rnacentral:lncRNA from 1 species
UUUUAGGGUUUUAAAUAUUUUAUUCAUCAAAUAAGACUAUUAUAUGAAGUUUUUACAAUUUGUAAUUAAAUCAACUUUUUCAGAAAAUAUGUGACAUUUCAGGUGGCUGAGUUAUUGUGCAGGACUUACUAUUUUAUUAAUGUUAAAAUACAUAAUUUAUUCGCAGCUCAACUUUCAGUGUAAAACCAAGUAUUUGUCCACCAGAGAUACAAAUGCUUAUAAACAAGGUUUGGAAUAAUUAUUGGCAUAUGCAAACUGAAAUAAUCUUCAAACUUUUUUCACACUGAUGAUCAGUUUUUAGAAAUAAGAUGACUGGCACUUAAACAAUAAAUGAACUACACCAAGCACAUGUUAGUAAAGGUACUUUGAUGGAAAACAAAGUAUUUAACAACAAAACAUUUGGUAAAACAUUCAUUUACUAACAUGUUCCCAACAUUUUCAAUGUUUACAUGAGUUGUUUGCACUAGUAAACAUGUUAUUUCAAACUAUUUUCAUAGUACAUGCAUUAGACUUAGUUUAAGAGGGGAAGGUUCUUUUAAAAUUUUUAUAAAGAAAAAAAUAGCUUUUUAAAGAGAAAAUGUCCAAAUAAGAGGAUGAAGACUUUUAUUUUUUGACUUAACAAGAUUUCAGUAGCUAUUUAAGAACAUACAAAACCCAAACUGAAUGCAAUUCUUCAAUUUAGUCAAGCUACCAAGU